rnacentral:rRNA from 1 species
AACGAACGCUGGCGGCAUGCCUAACACAUGCAAGUCGAACGAAACCUUCGGGUCUAGUGGCGCACGGGUGCGUAACGCGUGGGAACCUGCCCUUAGGUUCGGAAUAACUCCCCGAAAGGGGUGCUAAUACCGGAUAAUUUCUUCGGACCAAAGAUUUAUCGCCUUUGGAUGGGCCCGCGUUGGAUUAGCUAGUUGGUAGGGUAAAAGCCUACCAAGGCGACGAGCCAUAGCUGGUCUGAGAGGAUGAUCAGCCACACUGGGACUGAGACACGGCCCAGACUCCUACGGGAGGCAGCAGUGGGGAAUAUUGGACAAGGGGCGAAAGCCUGAUCCAGCAAUGCCGCGAGAGUGAUGAAGGGGUUAGGGUUGUAAAGCUCUUUUACCCGGGACGAUAAUGACAGUACCGGGAGAAUAAGCUCCGGCUAACUCCGU